UUUGUUAUAUAUUCAUUAUAUAACUGAUGACCGCCGUCACGUGAACGGAGAAACUUUUGCUCGAUUAGCAGUAAUCGAUAUUGCAUCGAACGUAUUAAAUUAUUUAUCAUCGUUAUUUAAGAAAAAUAAUACAUGUUGUGCAAAAAUUCAUACAUAAUUUUUUUUAAAUUGCGCUCAAUUAAAAGUAACGAUACUUUUACUAUAAUUUAUAAUAAUUCGCACGAUUUCUGGAUAAUUUAUAAACGUUGGUAACAUUUUUUUAGUAAAAUGAAGCUAAUUAUAUAGAAUAAAUCAAAUAUCUUUUAUUCCUAUGUUUUUUGCCGAAAAUUGUGUACUAUAAAUUCUUCAUACCACAUAGGAGAUAAGCCAUAUUGAAGACAAAAAUAAUGGCAACAGAUAAAGACGAACCACCAAAGCGUUUUAAGACGCGAUAUGUAACAUACAUCGCUGCUGCUGAGUGAAGUAUAUUGAGCCCUAUGAAAUAACGGAUCGAAGGCGAAUCGACGUUUCUAGAACUCGCUGCUUGACGGCAAAUAUGAGCUUGUCGCUACAUUGUAUAUAUUCGCCGGUCCUAUAAGACGAUCUCUAUUGCCACAUUGUAGUACCACGAGCGACGGUGAAAGACACGGCCUAUGCGAAGAUGAAGAAAAGCGGUCCUCCAACGGCUCCGUGUUCGGUCACACGGCAUGUUCGCUCGUUAUCAAGGAAAAGCAACAGACAAACGACAACAUAAUUUAGGGAGGAAUCGACAAUCGGAGUGGAUUGGUUAUAAUCUUACAAUCAGCAGCGUUUCUGUACCAUGGGAAUGGUAUAGGAUGGUGGGGUAGCGUUUGUCUUCUGGCAGACAAUGCUAUAAAACACAUUUUAUUAUUAAGAUUUCAAGAACAUGGAAUUAAAAAAAUUAUUUAAUAUAAAAUAGCGACUUUUUGUGUAAAAAUAUUGUCACCUGCAAUUUUCCCCGACUUUACGUGUUUUGAAGGCUAAUUGAAUUGGUCAAUUAUAAUUUCAAGGUAACCAAUAGACGUGAGCGUUCACCUCCUUCUUCCAUCAAUUCUUUCUCAUCCAAUGAAUUUGCAAACAUUCCAAACUGUGUGCUACCCCCAUCCUUAUCUCGGAACUUCUAACGAAUCUUGGGAAAACCAAAUUUUACGCAGAUUUACUCGCCUGUCGACUACCGUAGAAAACCGAACAUGGUGUAUUAUCCCGUAAACGCCUCAGUCUUAAUUUUCCAAUUUAAUCUUAUAGUUCUUCUUAUAAUUUUCUAUGGAUGUACGUAUCUCUAUAUCAUUAUCGAACUUGCUAUAUUUGUGCGACGUCGUAUUCCCAGAUACCUGCGUUUUCUUGUGUAGUUUACUUCAGGAAUUUAUGUGAUAAACUUGCAGAGAUUGGUUCGGUGAGAAAAUAUUUACGUCUAUAGUAACAACAGUCGACACCGAGUAUAUCAUCUGUAUCACUUUCCGAAAGAAAACAAUCCUCUUUAUAAAGAAUGAAUUUGAAAAGUUGGUAAUCACUACUUAAAAUAUUAUGCCAGCGCCAUUUUAAGAAGCAUGAAUGUCCAUGUCCAUAUAAAUCAUAUAAACCAUAUAAAAAUAUGAAGAGAUGAAGAAGCAUAAUGUAUCCGAACAACCAACAUUUUUAUUACAAAAUAAAAGGAAAAGGGAAGAUGUACAAGAAAGACAGCACGUUAUCGAAAAACAGUUGAUCAGAAAAGGAGGGCAAGAGCAAGAAGAACGACAUCAAUGCAGCUACUACCACUACCAAUAGUAGCAGAAAGUGGUUGAAGGAGGGAUAAAAUAAGAAGAUCAAGGUCAAAAUAUAUGCUCAAGUUCGGAAAAGAAAAAGUUGCAAAAAGAUGGACUAAGAGACAGAAACUGAAAAAUAUACUGCAGCAAAGCAAUCACUAUGAAGUCAGCCCACGAAACAAUCGUUUUUCGAAUUCCAUAAUUUCUGAAGAAUCGAUUCCUUCAAUGAUUCUAGGAGCAUUCAAACAAUAGCUCUUCGUUACAGCCGAGAAAGAUCCGCGGUCGAAAAGACAUCAAAAAAAAAAAAAGGCACAGGACUUAAACGUCAAUAGAAAAGGCGAAGUGCUCUUGGAAUUUCUUCUGAGGCAAAAAUCUAAACUUAUAUAAUACAAGCUUUGACUGAAACGGUUUGCAUGGUUUCCCUUUAUAGAAUGGUCUAUUGGUAUAGAGAUAUACAUUCAUAUUAGAUAUGUCCAAUAUUUGUAAAUGUAUUAUUUAUUAUCUUUGUUUUUGUCACUAAAUUAUUAUAUUGACAUUUUGAACUAUUUUUAUCUCUACUUUGUAUGUAUCGUGGUCCAAGAAUAUAGGAAAUCAUGAAUUUUUUUCCAAGGCAA